rnacentral:rRNA from 1 species
GACGUAGGCAGCGAGCGUUGUUCGGAAUUACUGGGCGUAAAGAGUGUGUAGGCGGUGCUCUAAGUUCGGUGUGAAAUCUCCUGCUUAACUGGGAGGGUGCGCCGGAAACUGGAGUGCUCGAGCGUGGGAGAGGAAAGCGGAAUUCCUGGUGUAGCGGUGAAAUGCGUAGAUAUCAGGAGGAACACCUGUGGUGUAGACGGCUUUCUGGACCAUAGCUGACGCUGAGACACGAAAGCGUGGGUAGCAAACAGG